rnacentral:rRNA from 1 species
UACGUAGGGACCGAGCGUUGUCCGGAAUCAUUGGGCGUAAAGAGCGUGUAGGCGGCCCGGUAAGUCCGCUGUAAAAGUCAAAGGCUCAACCUUUGAAUGUCAGUGGAUACUGCCGGGCUAGAGUCCGGAAGAGGCGAGUGGAACUCCUGGUGUAGCGGUGGAAUGCGCAGAUAUCAGGAAGAACACCAACGGCGAAGGCAGCUCGCUGGGACGGAACUGACGCUGAGGCGCGAAAGCGUGGGGAGCGAACAGG